rnacentral:rRNA from 1 species
UACGAAGGGGGCUAGCGUUGUUCGGAAUUACUGGGCGUAAAGGGCGCGUAGGCGGUACUUCAAGUCAGGCGUGAAAGCCCCGGGCUCAACCUGGGAAUUGCAUUUGAGACUGCAUAGCUAGGGUGCGGAAGAGGGAAGCGGAAGUUUCCGGUGUAGCGGUGAAAUGCGUAGAUAUCUGGAGGAACACCGGUGGCGGAAGGCGGCAUCCUGGACCGGUAUUGACGCUGAGG